GAAUGUACAUACCCACUAAAUGGUCAUUCACUGAAGGUUGCAGAGCCUGAGGCUGCAUGCCACUUUGUACUGGCUGUGUGUGCGUCACAACCACCUGAGUAACUUGCAUUGGUUGAGGGUAUUGAGUGCCUGCCACAGGGCUGCCAUCUGCUGGUUGAGCUUCCCAUGGAGGUGGAGGUAGUGACCCACUGCCUUGAGCGCCAAAAACUGGUGAGGCUGGCUGCAGAUGCUGUUGCUGAGGAACAUGUCCAUUCCAGGCAGGACUAGCAGCUUGCAUGUAUGGUGAAUGCUCAUUCUGCGGUGAUCCCAUAUUUGGGGCAAUUCCAUUUGUGUAAAUUCCAGCUUCUGGGGGAUGAGAAUUAAAUUGCUGUUGGAUUUGAGGAGUCGAAGAAUUUGUUAGUCCAGCUAAAUGGGCAGGGUGCACAUUGACAGCAUUUGGGGGGUUGCUACUGUCAGAAAACAUGUCAAAAAGAGCAAGGGCAUUCUGCUUAGAUGGAGUAGUAGUUGGCUGUGGCUCUCCCACAGGAACAAGAGCCAGUGAA
rnacentral:misc_RNA from 1 species